rnacentral:lncRNA from 1 species
UAGAACCCUCUCUCUCUCUCUAAGUUUGCUCUCCCUUCUCUCUAUCCUUGUAAUCUUACUAUUGUAAAAAUCUCUUGUAUUAUAAAUAAAAGAAGUUCAAGAUUUCUACAUACUCCUGGUAGCCAGGUAUUUACUUUUUAUACUUGCUUAAUUUUGUUUAUAUUUGUUUAUAUAAGCCCAAUGAUGGGCUAAAUUGUUAAGUGUUAAAUAAUAACUGAUAUAGCUUGAGGAUGUUCUGAAAGGCGAUGACUCUAAAAUAAGAGCUUGCCUUGAAGGGGUUAAGGUUUUAGCAUGGGUUUAGUUUAAAUAAUUUUAUAGCAAACUAAGCUUAAAUCAUGNNNNNNNNNNNNNNNNNNNNNNNNNNNNNNNNNNNNNNNNNNNNNNNNNNNNNNNNNNNNNNNNNNNNNNNNNNNNNNNNNNNNNNNNNNNNNNNNNNNNNNNNNNNNNNNNNNNNNNNNNNNNNNNNNNNNNNNNNNNNNNNNNNNNNNNNNNNNNNNNNNNNNNNNNNNNNNNNNNNNNNNNNNNNNNNNNNNNNNNNNNNNNNNNNNNNNNNNNNNNNNNNNNNNNNNNNNNNNNNNNNNNNNNNNNNNNNNNNNNNNNNNNNNNNNNNNNNNNNNNNNNNNNNNNNNNNNNNNNNNNNNNNNNNNNNNNNNNNNNNNNNNNNNNNNNNNNNNNNNNNNNNNNNNNNNNNNNNNNNNNNNNNNNNNNNNNNNNNNNNNNNNNNNNNNNNNNNNNNNNNNNNNNNNNNNNNNNNNNNNNNNNNNNNNNNNNNNNNNNNNNNNNNNNNNNNNNNNNNNNNNNNNNNNNNNNNNNNNNNNNNNNNNNNNNCCGAUUAUCAAAAUCCUCAAAAGAGUAACUAAAACGAGAAGAAAGAGUCGCCGGUGUUUGAGUUUCCGUCUAGAUCUAAAGCCAACGAGAUCGAGCACAAUGGGUUAGAUUUGAUUUUAAUUUCACAAUAAAGUUCGAUUUUUCCAUCCAAGAUAAAAUGUCUCUUUUUAUGUUUUUAAAAAGGUGCAAAUCUUGCGUUUUUAAUUGGGUUCAAUCUGAUGACUUUCCUUUUCUCCUUCUUCCUAUUUAUUUACUUUUUUAUGUUUUUGAAUCCACUAAUAAAAAACUAUUUUCAAUUAUUUUAUUUUGUCCAAUUUAGAGGUAAACCAUGUAUUAUAUUUUUAGAUUGUAUUAGAUUGGAGAGCAAAUUUAUUUAUUUUUGAAUAUUGGAAAGAAAAUCUUUCACUAUACAAAAUAUAUAAAUAGACUGCCACUAUACAAAAUUAUACAAAAUAGAUUGUCACUAUAAAAAAAAUAUACAAAAUAGAUAUAACUAUACAAAAUAUAUACAAAAUAGAUGUAACUAUACAAAAUAUUUAUAAAAUAGAUGUAACUAUACAGAAUAAAAAUAAAAAAGGCUGUCAGUAUAUAAAAUGCAUGAUACACUCCAAAUACACAGUGUGUACACAUUACGCAUAUAAAAUUCUAUAUAUAUAUGCGCACAAAUACUUUAUACAUGUAUAUAUGAUUGAACUUUUCUCAACUAUUGUUUUUCCACUUAUAUGAUUGAAAAAGACUAAGUCGAACUUGGAAAUUAACUAAAGAAAGGAGAUGAAAAUCACCAUUAAUUAUGUAUGAGAACUCCUAAGAAAGAAAGCUUUUUGGAGGGAAGGGAAAAACGAUUGGCGUGUGGUUUAUUGGAAAAAUAAGCUUUACUCCUUUGUUUGGUUAUGGAACAACACUUGAUAUUUUUUAAAGUUGAUGUAACAAGUCUUGAUUUUUAUUGUUUUCCAUUGAACAAAAAACUUAAUUGUAAUAUAAUAAGGUAUUACUGCUGGAAAAAUAGUAAAAUAAUUAUUAGCUGAUGAAAAAUUCUUGAUUUUUUAAAAUAACGUUUGAUGUUAAAUCAAAGAAUUUUAGUAGUACUGUUAGGAAUAAAGCGAGGAAAAAUGUGUUAAGAAUUGAAGAAAAGAAGUAAACAAAAUAUAGAAAGAGUAAAAAGUCAAGUAUGAUACUUAAGAAAGAGAAAUAAUUUGGUAUUGGGAAGGAAAAUUAUUUGGGGAAGAUAAAAAAGUAAGAAAUAGAAAAUAAUUUGGUAUACCAAAAUUACCUUUGUCUUUUUGUCUUUUGUCUGUUGGUUUUACCCAAUGAGUUAUAAUUUGAUAUUAGUUUUAUCUAAUGGGAUAUUUCGGGUUAUGUGUAAAUCUUUGGGUUAGUACUUUUCUUUAAUGGCUAUACACGGUAGUUUUCUUAUUUUUAAAUCGUUACGAAUCUUUGUAAUUUCUUUGCAUGGGUAUGUUCUAAAGAAUUUUAUGACAGUUGUAAAAAUAUAAUCCUACUCAAUAGAAUAAGGAUAUCAAAUGAUAUUGUUUUCCCAACUGUCUUGACAGUCAUAUCAACAUAUUGAUAUUCACUAUUCAUGUAAAUUGGCAUAUAUUAAAAGUAACCAUCCAUUAAAAAUGAUAUUAGAUUGAUAACUAACCUUAAAAAUAAUGUAGGCCAUCUAUUACAAUUUAUCAGUGAGAGAAAGAACUCUAAUAUUGAGAAGAACACACGCAGAGAGAGACUUGAAGAAGAAGAAGAAGAAGAAAAAGAAGAAUAAAUGAGAGAAGUGAUUUUCUGUAUAUUCAAUUUAACUGUACAGUUCUAUUUAUACAUGGUGAAAUAUUAAUUACCAACUUCUGAACUAACUGAUGGAUCCUACAGUGCUUCCAAUAACUGAAUGUAAUGACUGUACACUAAUUAACUCCCCUUACUCUCUAUAAUCUUACUCCUCUUGUUUCUACACUCCCCCUCAAGCUAGGUGGUAUAAAGAUAUCAAGUAAACCUAGCUUGGACAAUAAGUACUCAUGUUGUGCUCUAGGAAACCCUUUAGUUAGCACAUCUCCCAAUUGUUCCUUGGUUCCCACAUACUUUGUCUUGACUAACCCCUGCAGUAUUUUUGUCAUAUGAAGUGCCAAUCAAAUUCUAUGUGUUUGGUCCUUUCAUGAAAGACAUGGUUGAAAACUAUUUGCAUGGCUUCCUUACUGUCAGUGUUGAUGGUUACAUGCAAUUUAAACACCACUUGUAUGUCCUUGAGUUAUCCAAAUAUCCAAACUAGUUCAGCUACUGUUGUGGUAAUGCUUCUAUACUUUGAGUCUGCAGAGCUUCUAAAAUGGUACUUUGCUUCUUUGAUUUCUAUGAUAUCAGUGAAUCCCCAUACUUUAUGAAAAACUCAGUCACAAGCUUCCUGGUCAAAGGGCAUGCUGCCCAAUUAACAUCACAGAAGACUGAGAUUAAAACUUUCUUUUGACUUGAUUAGAACACUCCUUGCCUAGGAUGAUUCUUGACAUAUUUGAUCACCCUAAGGACGGCCUCCAAAUGAUAUUUCUUAGGCUUUUACAUAAACUGGUUGAGUGUUUGAACACUGAAUGUAAUGUGUGGCCUUGUUACUGUCAAAUAUAGGAGUUUGCCUAGUAGCCUUUGGUAACUAGUAACAUCUGGUAACAAUGCAUCAUCCAAGUUGUUGGUUAUGCAUGUGUGUUCAUCAUACUCCUGAGUAGUGAGCUUCACAUUUAAUUCAAGAGGCGUAGUAGCAGGCUUUGCAAUACCUAAGCCAAGUUCAGAAAAAGUUCUAAUAUAUAUGUUCUUUGAUGCAUUAGAAUGCCAUAUGAUGACCUUGAAAACUCUAUCCCAAGGACGUAUUUCAACUCCCAUAGGUCCUUCAUCUUAAAGGUCUUAUGUAGUGUUGUUUUAGUAUUUCUUAUAGAGUCAAAUCAGGCCAGUGAUGAGCAUAUCAUCCACAUAGACUAGUACAACAACAAUAAAACUUCCAGUCCCAUGUACAAAUAGAGAGUGAUCAUGUCGACUUUGUAUGAAAUUAAAACUAAUAAAUGAUUCUGAUAGAUUUGUAUUUCAUUGUCUGGGUGCCUGUUUAGGGCCAUGUAAGGAUUUAAAGAGUCUGUAAGUUUGCUUGCUCUCCCCUACCUCUGAAAUUCAUGAGGAAGAGUCAUAUAAAUUUCAUCAGGCAAAUCACCUUGGAGAAAGACAUUGUACACAUCCAUUUGAUGGGUAUGCCAGUGUUCUGAAGUUGCAAUAGAGAGGGUGGUUCUAAUAGUAACCAUCUUAACAGCCGAACUAAAAAUUUCUUGAUAAUCAAUCCUUUCCUGCUGGCUGAACCCCUUGGCCACCAAUCAGACUUUAGACUUUUCAACCUCCCAUAUAGAUUUGUACUUUACCUUGAAUAUUCACUUACAACCAAUAGGCAUCUUGCCUAGAGAAAGUGGUACAACCUCUCAGGUGUGAUUAGCCUCCAUGGUUAGCUAUUUUAAUUUUCAUAGCCUCCACCCACCUUGGGUUUUUGACAACCUCUUCAUAGGAGGUAGGCUCCAUAAUAGUAGAGAUGCUGCAAUGUAAGACUGAUAAAAGGGAGAUAGACUUUCAUAGGAGACAUGAUUGGCAAUGGAACAUGGGGUGUGAGAGUUUGUUGGCUGAAUGACAAAGUCCUUGAGCCAUAAUGGAGGUUAUUUGGUUCUGAGAGAUAUCCUCAGAGUAGGAUAGGGCUCAUUUUCAUUAGACAAAGGACUGGGCCUACCUUCUGACAAAGUAUGGGACAAGUUAUCACCAGUUGGUUGAAUAGGUAAAUUGGUGUGAGAAAAAUGACUGAUAUCUGAGGAUACUUCUUCACAGCUAGAAGGUGAAGAAGGUGACAUGAAUAUGGGAUGAGAGACAGACAGAGAGUCUCUGAAUGGGAUGAUAUCCUCUUUGAGAUUCGGAGAAUUCCAUGAGCGCAACAGGCUUGGCCCUAGGCAUAAGCUUGUUUUUCUCCUUCAUUUGCCUUGCAAAACACAAGCAUCCCAGAGUUCUAAGAUGUCCCAGUAGAGGCUUCCUAUUGUACAACAACUUAUAAGGUGUAUAUACCUUCAAUACUGAGGAUGGCAGUCUGUUAAUCAGAUAUGCUACAGUAAGAACACAAUAACCCAGAACUUAAUGGGAAUGUGAGCUUGAAAUCUUAGAGCUCUGGUGACUUCUAGGAGAUGCUUGUGCUUCCUCUUAACUACUUCAUUCUGUUGAGGAGUGUCGGCACAUGUAGUUUGAUGGAGGAUGCCAAGGUUAUUGAACACAGUUCUACAUACUUCGUUCAAAAAUUUAGUGCCAUUGUCAGACCUUAUCAUCUUGACUGUUUUAUUAACCUGUGUAUGCACAAAGGCAAUGAACUGUGGCAAUAAAACACACACAUCAGAUUUCAAUUUCUGUAGAAAUAUCCAAGUCAUUCAAAUAAAGUCAUCAACCACUAUGAAAAAGUAUCUAUAACAAUCAAAAGUUGCAGUUUUAUAAGGUCCCCAAACAUCUACAUGAAUGAGAUCAAAUGCUACUAGUAGGAAAUGAUGUCCUAGCCUGUUUAGCACAAGGAUAAAUACAACAUUUAUUGAUUGUAUUAUUAAUACUAGCUAGUUUGGCAUAAAAUAGUUUCUUGAGAACAAUAAUGGACACAUGGACAAGUCUCCUAUGCCACAAGGCUAUAUCGGUAGAACUGGUUGAGAAAUCAGUCUUUGAGCUAACCGCUUCCAAAGACACAACAGUCAGUAUUUUAUUUUCAUGUUGCUGUAGGAAGUACAAGCCAUCUCUUUCUCUAUUAAUCUCCUUCACCCUGCCAGUGAAGAGAUCCUGAAAUUCACAAAAACCAGGAUAGAAAAAGUUAAAGCACCUUAAUUCUCUUAUCAUUUUUGACAUUGAUAGCAAGUUGUACUUGAACUGUGGUACAUAGAAUACUUCUUUUAGAAUGUUGCUAUUUGAUAUUUGACUGUCUCCAACAUGAGUCUCCUGAGUGACAUCUCCAUUUGGCAAUAGAACUUUUCUAGAGGAAGAGGGUUCAACUAUAGAAGCUUUAUUUAAUAGAUUAACAUUAGACGCCAUAUGAUUAGUUGCUCCUGUGUCAAUGAUCUACUACUCUUGUAGACUGGUGGAAGCCAGUAAAGCAAUACUAGUAUAUGUUGUAUUAGCUAGAGAAGUAGGUGUAGGACUGUUAUUACUUGCUGAAGAAGAGAUGACUGUGCUGCUGUGCAGAAUAUGCAUAAUCUUAUCAUAUUGUUCCUUGGUGAAAGGAAAGGCACCACAUCCUACAUGUUGUGGUUGUUGUUCCAUACUUGCAGAGUGAUUGUUGUUUUGCAAAGGUUGGAUAGACCUUGACUGCAUAUUAGUAAUCAUCGAACCAGAGUUUGGUUGUUCAUAAGGUUGUGUGUAGGAGCCUAGCUCAGGUAGUGAAUUGUAACCACUAGAAAAUAAGCCAUAUUGAGCUACUAUAUUACAAGCUCCAUCUCCCCCUUUCUUCUUAAACUUUUAGUCUUCUGGAUAGGCAACUAUAUUAUAGCAGUUUUCCUUGCUAUGACACUUUAUCUUGCAGAAUUCACAUUGUAGAUUAAAGUUCUUUCAGUACUUUGGUCUGUUACCAGGCUUAGAACUAUAUAGUGUUGUGGAUUCAUAGUGUCCACCAGUUACAUCAGGCGAAUGACCUAAGAUUCCUGCUGAACCUGCUACUUUUCUCUGACUCUCAACACUAAUUAACAUAGCAUAUGCUUGAUUUAUAGAAGGAACAGGUUUUAUUAUGAGAAUUUGACUACGAUCUUAAGAGUAUGAGUUAUUUAAGCCCAUAAGGAAUUGAUACAACUUUUGUUUGUGAAGGUGUUCAAUGAAUUUCUUAGUUUUAGGGCAGUCACAGCCAGGAUGUGGUACUAGGUCUUCAGUCUCAUCCCAUAGGUCCUUGAGUUGGAAUGAUACACAGAGAUAGAUGAGAUACCUUGUGUUAGGGUUGCAAUUUUCUUGUGUAGGUUAUAUAAUCUAGUGUCAUUCACUUUGUCAAAGAGUUCUUGCAAAUCCAUCCAUACAAUAUAUGCACUGGUCGCAUAUGCAAUUCCACUUAUCAAAGUCGCACUACAGCAUUCAUCAGCCAUGAUAAAACGAUUGCGUUGCACCUUUCCCAUUGAUACUAAUAGAUCUCUCAAAAUCUCUCUGUUUUCCACCUUCCGACUCCAUCAUGAGCUUAUUUCGACCUAGAAGAGCAAUUCUCAUAGAUCGAUACCACAUCGAGAAGUUAUCUGUACUUGUUAUUUGAAAUGAGAUCCUACUCGCAUCACUAGGUGCCAAAUAUAGAGGAUGAGUGACUGCAACUGAAAUUCCUUCUUCAAAUUCAUCCUCUGAUGAUACUUGAGAAGUUUCAGUCAUAGUUGCAGCUAUUUCCUGUUCAGAGUUGUCGGCCUCCAUUAUUAACUACUUAGAGCUUUAAAAUUGAGAUGCGAAGAAGAGAAUCUAAUAGAGAAGAGAAUUGGAUCCUUUUAAUUGUGAUUAGAAUUGUCAAUAAUAUAUUCUAAGAUGAUUGAUCAUAUUAACUUUUCGACUAUCUUAUUGCACGCAACAACAACAACAACAACAACCAUCACAAGUGAGGUCUGGGAAGGAUAGUAUAUACGCAGACCUUACCGCUACCCCCGAUGGAGUAGAGAGGUUGUUUCCGGAAGAUCCUCGGCUCAAGAUAAUAAAAAAAAUAAAAUGGAGAGAAUAUUAGUUUCACCAUAGAGAUCAUAGGAAAAAUAGGAACAUAAAAUGUAGAAGGAAAAAUGCAAUAUAAAAAUGAUGGCUAGUAAAUAGGUCCUGUAUCGAAAAGAGAAAAUAGUAAGACACGACAAUGCCCCUAGUUAUUUCAGACAAAAACCCUACCAGACUAGGCUCACAACAGUACAAGGUAACACAAGACUCAAUUACCUCAUAGCCUACAACCGUAAUGCUCGAUCUCCACAACUUCCUAUCAAGUGUCAUGUCCUCAAAACUCUUAAGUCUCGUCAUAUCCUGCCUGAUUACUUCUCCCCAAUAUUCCUUAGGUCUCCCUCUACCUCUUCUCGUGCCCUCCACAACCAGUCGCCCACACCUCCUUACUGGAGCAUCUGGGCUUCUCCUAUAUAUAUGUCAAACCAUCUGAGCCUCGCUUCUCACAACUUGUCAUCAAUGGGAGCUACGUGCACCUUAUCUCGAAUAUCAUCAUUUCUAAUCGUGUCCAUCCUAGUGUGCCCGCACAUCCACCUCAACAUCCUCUUAUUGCACGCAAAUAAUAUAUUAAAUUUUUUGAAUCGUCUCAUUUUUCCUAUUUUCUUUUCAAUUACUAUGCGAUUUUGAUUAACUUUUGAAAUUUUAUUUGAAUAGGUCAAAUAAGAAAAUUAAAUUUAGAAAUUCUCAUUCAUUAUAUAUACUUGCAAAUUCAUUCCACGUCCUAGGGCCUUAAUUGCUUUUUCAGGACAUCUAGUAGGUAGACUUGAGUAAUAAGGGAGAUCACACAAAUAUGACAUGUCUUUCACUUACGAUGAUAAUCCAUCAAUUAAGGUGUAUUGGAUAUUAUUUUUAAAGGAAAGAAGUCAAUGGAUCACCGCCCAAGCUAAUUUGCAGUCUUGCAGAUAUGCAUACGCUACUACUAUAUCUCUUGUCCAAUAUCUUCAUAAACUAUUGUUUUAUUCAUAAGUCAUCCACAUUUUCUGAAAGAAGAAGUUCUUAGUCCAAAUUCAAAGGAUAUUUUAUUGAGAUUAUUUAGUUAGCAUUAAAAAACCUAUACCUAAUAACACCUCUACACCCAUGGAAGUCAUAAGAUAACAGUAGCUGAAAGUCCUUAAUUAUAUUGAGGGCACGAGGAAGACCUAAGAGUCCCAUUUCAUCAAUUCAUGAGACUUGUGAUAGUUAAAAGUAAUCGAUGUGCUAACUUAUUUAUCGGAAGAAAAAGAUAAAAUGAAACUAAAAACAAGAAGAUUUGCUUUUUCCAAAAGUUUCGAGGAAAUAGAUGAAAAUAAUCUUGUUGUUCAUGACUAGCCACUUGGGAGUUUUUUUGUAGCAGACUGUUUGCGUUGAAUAAACCGGUUAGUCAGCGGCUUGCACAAAAUGGUUGCCCACGCCUCACUAUUUUGGGCCCAAAAGAGUCGGUUUCCAAGAUUUCUCACUAUCAUGCCCUUUGUCCUCUGAUUUUACACCAAGUUACACAACAAUUACUCUUUUGAGACACAUCGUGUUUGACGGUCAGUACGAUAUGGUAUUUAGGUAUUUCGAUUUGGUAUUUUUGAUAUUCGAUUUUUUAAAAUGUUAUAUUAAUACCAUACUUAUUAAAUUCGAUAUGGUUUGGUUUUUUUUUCUUUCGGCUUCUGUUUAUUCAGUAUGAAUACUAACUAGUAUAUUAAGUCAUAAACGGUAAUAUUCUUAAUUAUAGUCGGCGAAAGUACAAAACUAAAACGUUUAUUGAUAAAAGUUUUGUCCAAAACCAACAAAUACCAACCAAGAAAGAGAAAAUUGUAGAAUACAUUUGAUCAUUAGAAAUGUUUGGUUACUUGCUUAGAGUUAAUUGAUGAACUUAGAGAAUAAGGAAAAUAAAUUUUUAGAUUUCUUAUAUUUAUGUUAUAACUAAUAAUAUGUGUAUAUAUUUCUGUAUGAUAUUAGUAUUUCGGUAUUUUAUUUUACAAUACCAAAUACCAUACUCAACACUAAUUUUUUUAAAAACUUAAACCAAAUACUAUACCGAAUAUCAAAUACUUAAAUUUUUAAUUUCGAUACGAUAAUUCGGUAUUUACUAAAUUAUACAUAGCCCUGGAUAUUUACAGUAAUUGUACUAAGUUUAGCUCCAAUUUGUCUUCUAACAAUCAAUCAAGCGGUUGUAAAUUGUAAUACUUUCUUUCUUUUCUCUUUUCUUAGUUUCUCACAAUAGGCAAAAAACAUUUCUUUUUCACACACACAGACAAUAAAACAAAUUAAAUUGCCAGUUAUCACAAAGUUCUAAAUUUUGCUGUCUAUUCUAAGCGGUCGAAUUUUCUCCUAUAUAAGAAGCACCGUAGGAGCAACUGAAGCAGUCGGCUCUUCACGACAUGCCAGUUUCAGCCGUAAUAAUUUUGUCCUUGAUUUUCAACAUUAUUACAUCAAUUGCCAUUAUACCAUUUGGUAAAUAAGGGUAACUUUUGAGGUAUUUUCAAAACCUACUUUCUGUUCCCAAAUGCAUAGUACAAAAAUGUGGAACCCAUAAUUUAGCGAACAAAGGAAAUUUUGGGGGGGAUUUUGGACAGAUGCAUAAUAGUAUCUAAACAUGCGAUACAUUUGAACCUCACUGGUGAAACCCAAAAAAUAACUUCAAUGUAACAAGACGUAACACAUAUAAGAGACUCCUAUUGAAUUAGUAGCGCACGCCUCCAAUUGGCUCUACAAUUUAAUAUGCUGUAUUUACUCCUAAGUAUGCCUCUGUGCAACCACAAAGAGGUUAGACCAGUCCCAAUAGUAAUGAAUGUGAAAUCAUUAACUAGGAUAAGCAGUUAAUCCAGGAUCAAAUUUUAAGUAAUUAAUUAAUACAGUUCAAGUAAAUCUAAAGUGAAGACUUUAAUCAUUUGUUCUUUGGCUGCCAUAGCACUAACAGUUUAUGGAAAAGAAUAUGCAAUUGGUUGGGAUAUUCUCGAACUAUUGGCUGUUGGGAUUCUGAGCUCAAUUGGAUAUAUAGUAUAGCUAAGAGCAGGCAAUGGCAUACUUCGAUAACAGCUGCUGCAUUCAUAACUACAACUGCACUUAUUUGGAAGCAAGGAACCACAUUCGUUUUGAAGGUGCUACAUAUGUGGAGGAUUUGCUAUGUCGAGAGAUUGCCUUAUUGAUACAUAUUCGAGGCAGUAAAAACAAGCAAUGGCAAAUUGGACUGAGAAAGCUCAACUAUUUUCCUUAGCCUAU